GUAAUUUAUCCAGGGGAUGCGAGGGAUUAUGACAGGAUGAAGAUUCAAUACAACGGAUUCUGUCCAGUCGCUCUUCUGUCCGGAGAUGGUUUCCUGCUUCCUGGAAACCCUCUGCUAGGAACGCUGAAGUGGAAAGGAAACCUUUAUCAAUGUUCAACUCCAGACAGGA